GCUGGAGUAGCUCAGUCGGUAGAGCAGCUGUUUCGUAAACAGCAGGUCGUCGGUUCGAAUCCGACCUCCAGCU
rnacentral:tRNA from 1 species